GAAAGGUCUUAGCACCAUGGGUGGAGUCUCACUCUCCCCACAGGUGGCAAAUAUGCAGCACCUUCAUGAUGUCUGUGCAAGUUCCUUACCAGACACACACACUCAAAUCACAUGGAAAGCGGUGAGCUGGUUGCUCCUGUCCACACUUUUGCACUUCAGAGGGGAGAGACCUGCUGAAUGCAGCAUAGAGCAUACCCUGAAUUGUCUUCUUCCUCCCUCCUGCAGCAAAACUGCCAAGUCUGUGCUGGCUUGCAUCUAGAAGAUCAAUGAGGAAGGAUAUUUUACAGAGGUGUUAAAGAAAAGGAUAUAAAAAGGAUACUGAAGGUAAAGAAGACAUCAAGACAAUUUUGUACCAGAGGUGAAGCAUCAUGAGCAAUUCCAUGUGGACCAACUGUACACUAAAAGAAAUGAGGAAAUAAAAGAGAACUGAGAGUACUAGCCAUGAAAUCAUGGAGUAGGAGGAGCAUUCAAUAAGAUGGAUGUGGAUAUGCCACACAACUCCAGUUCCAGAGACAUGGAUAGUUUUUGGAGUCUUCCUUCUCUGUGUGUAUGGCUGAAACUGCUAAAUACAAGAGACAAGAAACAGAGUUCAGUGAAGCAGUACUCAGCUUUGUGUGGUAAUAUGAGGGCCAUGCUGAAGCAAUGCAAACUGAAUACAGCAACUUUGGAGAUUAAUGUUCCUGGACCAGAAGGGACACCAGCAGUGUGUUACUAUCUGGCAGAUCUACAGCAUAGUACAUGGAGAUGCUACCAGCCCCACCCAAAAUUACAUGUUAUGUAACCAAGUGAGAUGCAUUAAGAUCAUCUCCAACAUCGCCAUCUCCUGACUUUGAAUGAUAGUGCAUGUUGCUUCUGUGACAAUUGGUAUUCAAGAAAUGAAAAAAUGGCACUCAAGAUUUCUGUUCUGAAUUAAAAAAAAUAAUAAUAAUCAAUUUUGCACUGAAUUUUUCUUCUUUGUAUUCUGAAAUGUUUUGUAGCUGAUUAUCAAAUAAUUUAUCUUUGAUUUUGUAGUUAUUGUUUGCGUAAGACCCCAUUAACUCUUACAGGGUAGGUGGGCAACUGAAAACGUCAGCAUAUAUAGAAGAAAUUCAAGAACUUCAAGCACUGUAAGCUGUAGAGAGAGUUCCAAGUAACUCUUCAGCAACCUCUGCAAAGUUCCUCUCUUCUGGAAAAUGAAUACUAACCCAGGACAAGAGAAGACUGACGCCUGAUCAAGCCGUGGAAAUCUCCCUGAUGACUUCACUGGGCUCUUGCAUGUACAUAUAGAGCAGUCAUCUCCAUCCACUUACAGUCCUGCACUGAUGAUGUUCACUUGAACUGUGAAAUGGUUAGCAUUUAAAAGUUGUCCCUUCUACGUGAAUCCUGCUGUGCCUCACGUUUUAUAAUGCCGAGUGUUGUUAAAUGUUUGAGCAAUAUUGCAAUUGUUUCUAUUUGUUGAAUUUAUAUGAAAGCUAUUAUCUGUGACUUGUUAUUAUGCUAUGUGAAGAGAUUCCAACCCUUUUUUCUCCCCUCUAAUCCGUACCACCAAUAAGAAAAGGAACAUAAAUAAAUAAAUAC